GGCUCAUUAAAUCAGUUAUCGUUUAUUUGAUAGCACCUUACUACUUGGAUAACCGUGGUAAUUCUAGAGCUAAUACAUGCUGAAAAUCCCGACUUCGGAAGGGAUGUAUUUAUUAGAUUAAAAACCAAUGCCCUCCGGGGCUCACUGGUGAUUCAUGAUAACUUCUCGAAUCGCAUGGCCUUGCGCCGGCGAUGGUUCAUUCAAAUUUCUGCCCUAUCAACUUUCGACUGCUGGGUCUUGGCCAGCAAUGGUGACAACGGGUAACGGAGGGUUAGGGCUCGACCCCGGAGAAGGAGCCUGAGAAACGGCUACUACAUCCAAGGAAGGCAGCAGGCGCGCAAAUUACCCAAUCCCGACACGGGGAGGUAGUGACAAUAAAUACUGAUACAGGGCUCUUUUGGGUCUUGUAAUUGGAAUGAGUACAAUUUAAAUCCCUUAACGAGGAACAAUUGGAGGGCAAGUCUGGUGAAAACGCUGGCGCCGGAGAUAGUAAGCCCGUUAAAUUACUAGUCGAGCAUUCGCUAUUGGCGGGAGAAUGCCGGCGAGACAACCCGGAUCGGGGGAGGUUACGGAGCUUCGGCUCUAUAUCAACCCCGGACAGAGCCGACGUCUGUACGACUCGGGCCUGUUUAGAGCGCGGAAGGGUGUCGGUCCUGCUUAUCCGGACGCGUGAGAGCGUCUGGUUUCGGGG
rnacentral:rRNA from 1 species